rnacentral:pre_miRNA from 1 species
AAUGGGAUAGUUGGGUCAAAUGGUGGUUCCAUUCUGUGUUUCCUAAGGAAUCUCCAUACUGCUUUCCAAAUUGGUUGCACCAAUUUCCAUUCCCACCAGCAAU